rnacentral:rRNA from 1 species
GAUGAACGCUGGCGGCGUGCCUAAUACAUGCAAGUCGAGCGAACAGACGAGGAGCUUGCUCCUCUGACGUUAGCGGCGGACGGGUGAGUAACACGUGGAUAACCUACCUAUAAGACUGGGAUAACUUCGGGAAACCGGAGCUAAUACCGGAUAAUAUAUUGAACCGCAUGGUUCCAUAGUGAAAGAAGGUUCUGCUGUCACUUAUAGAUGGAUCCGCGCCGCAUUAGCUAGUUGGUAAGGUAACGGCUUACCCAGGCAACGAUGCGUAGCCGACCUGAGAGGGUGAUUGCCCACACUGUAACUGAGACACGGCCCAGACUCCUACAGUAGGCAGCAGUAGGGAAUCUUCCGCAAUGGACGAGAGCCUGACGUAGCAACGCCGCGUGAGUGAUGAAGGUCUUCGGAUCGGAAAACUCUGUUAUUAGGGAAGAACAAAUGCGUAAGUAACUAUGCACGUCUUGACGGUACCGAAUCAGAAAGCCACGGCUAACUACGUG